GGAAUCUUCCGCAAUGGACGAAAGUCUGACGGAGCAACGCCGCGUGAACGAAGAAGGCCUUCGGGUCGUAAAGUUCUGUUGUUAGGGAAGAACAAGUACCAGAGUAACUGCUGGUACCUUGACGGUACCUAACCAGAAAGCCACGGCUAACUACGUGCCAGCAGCCGCGGUAAUACGUAGGUGGCAAGCGUUGUCCGGAAUUAUUGGGCGUAAAGCGCGCGCAGGUGGUUCCUUAAGUCUGAUGUGAAAGCCCACGGCUCAACCGUGGAGGGUCAUUGGAAACUGGGGAACUUGAGUGCAGAAGAGGAAAGUGGAAUUCCAAGUGUAGCGGUGAAAUGCGUAGAGAUUUGGAGGAACACCAGUGGCGAAGGCGACUUUCUGGUCUGUAACUGACACUGAGGCGCGAAAGCGUGGGGAGCAAACAGGAUUAGAUACCCUUG
rnacentral:rRNA from 1 species